GCAUGUCCUGCUUCCUGUGCUGUUACACUGAUUCUAAACCCAGCAAAAUGGAGGAGAUACUCCAAACGGGUGGCUCUCCCAGAUGGGCUCAGCACCGUGUACACUGGGGGCAGGUCUGAACGCGAGCUCGACGGCAACUCUCUGCUGGGUCUGCCAAGGCUCCAGCUCCAAAGGGCUCCUCUGCGUCCUCCACCUUCUUUUUCAAGAGUAACAAAGACAUUUGAUUUCCUCCCACCCCUUUCUCUGGGCGCCCCUGCGCUCUCCCCCUCCCCCUCGCUGGCACUGGGGUUAUUUAUACAGAAUGUGGAAACAAUUUGCAGGAAAGCGAACAAUGUAACCCAGAGUGAGGGGAGGGAGAGAAGUUUAUUGUGCAGCACUCACAGCCCCAGAAGUGAAACGCUGCUUUUUUUUUUGGAGGGGGGGAGAAGAGGGAGUGGACUGUUUUCCUUUCCCUCUGCUCCUCUCUCUCGGUGCCCCACGGAACCGCUCCCCGUCUUGCCAGAGCUGGGUCCAAACCAGAGCAACCAGAUCCCACUGCGUGUUCUGGAGGAAGUUCAGGUUGGAUCCCUCCCUGCAUCCUCACAGCUCGCUGAGGCAGUGUCUGUGGACUAUAAUCCUCUCGGAGGUUUUGCUCUGGGAUCAUUUCUGCUCCUGGAUUAG
rnacentral:lncRNA from 1 species